rnacentral:rRNA from 1 species
UCGCACGAGAAAGUGGAGCAUCCAUGAGUAAAGUGGCGCACGGGUGAGUAACACGUGAAUAAUCUACCUCCGAGUGGGGAAUAACUGAGAGAAAUCUUAGCUAAUACCGCAUAAUACCCACGGGUCAAAGCAGUAAUGCGCUUGGAGAGGAGUUCGCGGCCGAUUAGUUAGUUGGCGGGGUAAUGGCCCACCAAGACGAUGAUCGGUAUCCGGCCUGAGAGGGCGCACGGACACACUGGAACUGAAACACGGUCCAGACUCCUACGGGAGGCAGCAGUGGGGAAUUUUGCGCAAUGGGGGAAACCCUGACGCAGCAACGCCGCGUGGAGGAUGAAAUCCCUUGGGAUGUAAACUCCUUUCGAUAGGGAAGAUAAUGACGGUACCUAUAGAAGAAGCCCCGGCUAACUUCGUGCCAGCAGCCGCGGUAAUACGAGGGGGGCAAGCGUUGUUCGGAAUUAUUGGGCGUAAAGGGUGCGUAGGCGGUUUGACAAGUCUUAUGUGAAAUCUUCGGGCUCAACCCGAAGUCUGCAUAGGAAACUGUCGGGCUUGAGUAUGGGAGAGGUGAGUGGAAUUUCCGGUGUAGCGGUGAAAUGCGUAGAUAUCGGAAGGAACACCUGUGGCGAAAGCGGCUCACUGGACCAUAACUGACGCUGAGGCACGAAAGCUAGGGGAGCAAACAGGAUUAGAUACCCUGGUAGUCCUAGCCCUAAACGAUGAUUGCUUGAUGUGG